UCUAUUUCUAUUUCAACUUCUUAUUCGAUUCAUGAAUUUAGGUAUAGGUCCUUGUUUGGGAAAAUAUUGCUUAUGAAUCUCGUUCUAAAUCUGGUAUUAGUUUGGAUUUGAAGAAUCCUCUAUUAAAUUUCUGCAAAUCAAUGUAGGUUUAGGUGCUUAUUAUUGUUAUACCGAUCCUGAAUCAAAUCGACGUAUUGGUUUAUUAUUAUUACUAUUAAUGUUGGAUUGCAUACUUAAAAUGAGUUGAUUACAUCUGUUUGUGUCUUUGUUUUCUUUAAGAAACAACAAUAGACCAGUAGUAUGCUUAUGUUCAUCGACACGAAUAUAUAACACUUUGUAUGUCUAUGUACGUAAUUUCACUCUCUUUGAUUCAAUUUUUAUACACUAGUCAGUCAUCUUUGGUUACUCUCAUAUGUUUUUUUUUGUUCUCCUCUUACUUCAGGUUCUGCAAUGUGAGUAUACCCUCCGUAGAGCCAUCGUCAAUCAAGCACUGGCAAUUGAUGCUAUUAAAGAUACGGAUCUUCCUCCAAGAUAUGUGAAUAACACAAGUCUUUCUGCAAGAGUUGGAAGGCUUUAUCUGGACUGGGUCGAUCCUAAUCAGUCAGCUGAAUUGGAAGGAUUAAUUUGGAUUGUGAAUAACAAAGGUCUUUCAUUGUGCAAUGGCUCUUACUGGUAGCGAAUUUUUAGAGGGUGGACAAAUAUAAUAACUGGUUCAGUGGGCUAAGAUGUAAAAACUCAUUUGGAAAAAAUGCAAACACAUAGACUUUUCCCAUGAUUAGACCGGGUAAUUAAUGCGAAGGUGGCAGCAGAGUUAGAGUUGCAGUUGUUUCUGGGGAUGAACAUGCUAAAUUAUCAGGUGCAUUUGAAACACUGGCAGCAUAUAUGCUUCAUACAACUGAUGAUUUUUGUAUGCACAUUUAUGAGCCUGAUUGGGAUACACAAACAGGUGAAGUCGCUUCCGUAGGGGAUGCAAUUGAAGAUAU